rnacentral:tRNA from 1 species
GCCUCCUUAGCUCAGUUGGUUAGAGCGGUGGAUUCUUAAUCCAUAGGUCCUAGGUUCGAGUCCUAGAGGGGGUACCA